rnacentral:rRNA from 1 species
UCAGUUAUCGUUUAUUUGAUAGUACCUUUCCUACUUGGAUAACCGUGGUAAUUCUAGAGCUAAUACAUGCUAAAAAUCCCGACUUACGAAGGGAUGUAUUUAUUAGAUACAGAACCAAUGCCCUUCGGGGCUCCUUGGUGAAUCAUAAUAACUCCGCGGAUCGCACGGCCUUGCGCCGGCGAUGGUUCAUUCAAAUUUCUGCCCUAUCAACUUUCGACGGCUGGGUCUUGGCCAGCCGUGGUGACAACGGGUAACGGAGGGUUAGGGCUCGACCCCGGAGAAGGAGCCUGAGAGACGGCUACUACAUCCAAGGAAGGCAGCAGGCGCGCAAAUUACCCAAUCCCGACUCGGGGAGGUAGUGACGAUAAAUACUGAUCCAGGGCUCUUUUGGGUCUUGGAAUUGGAAUGAGUACAAUUUAAAUCCCUUAACGAGGAACAAUUGGAGGGCAAGUCUGGUGCCAGCAGCCGCGGUAAUUCCAGCUCCAAUAGCGUAUAUUAAAGUUGUUGAGGUUAAAAAGCUCGUAGUUGAACCUUGGGCCUGGCUGGCCGGUCCGCCUCACCGCGUGCACUGGUCCGGCCGGGCCUUUCCCUCUGGGGAACCGCAUGCCCUUUACUGGGCGUGUCGGGGAACCAGGACUUUUACUCUGAACAAAUCAGAUCGCUCAAAGAAGGCUCUCGCUCGAAUGCAUUAGCAUGGAAUAAUGGAAUAGGACGUGUGGUUCUAUUUUGUUGGUUUCUAGGACCGCCGUAAUGAUUAAUAGGGACAGUCGGGGGCAUCAGUAUUCAAUUGUCAGAGGUGAAAUUCUUGGAUCUAUUGAAGACUAACUACUGCGAAAGCAUUUGCCAAGGAUGUUUUCAUUAAUCAGGAACGAAAGUUAGGGGAUCGAAGACGAUCAGAUACCGUCGUAGUCUUAACCAUAAACUAUGCCGAUUAGGGAUCGGACGAUGUUAUUUUUUGACUCGUUCGGCACCUUACGAUAAAUCAAAAUG